rnacentral:misc_RNA from 1 species
GUACAAGGGAGUUUAAAUUUCUUUUUUCUUUCUUUUCUCCCCCUCUUUCACUUAAGCAUGACCAUAAAUUUAAAACAGGAAAUGGAAGUCUUGUCAGGCCUAAGAAUUGGUGUGUUACAAACAACAUAAAUUACACUACACCUUAUUUUGACACUCUCAUUGAAGCAUACUAGUAUUUUGAGAGCUACAAGCAAACGAAGGAGGGCCUUUGUGAACUUUACAUCCACUAUUGCAGCAGCCAACUUUGAUGUGUGCAAGGACUCAUAAAUUAUCAUCAAGGAUGGUGGACAUUAACAGCCCUUGCACAAACGCACAGCGUUUCGUUUUCUCUUCUUUAUCCUGCACGGACAGGGGCGAUGGUGGGAUGCUCCGUUCUAAUGAUUUGUCUUGUGAAUUACUCUUCACGGAGCUUGAUUCAGCCAAAAAGUGAGGUUGAACACUGCCAUAGUCAUCGGCCAACGGUAGAAUAAACGAUGACAGCAACGGGUCAGGCGCUGCAUUGGAGGAAGUAAGUAAACAUGAAGAACCCCCAAAAAGAGACUGCAAAUUUCCUUCUUGAAGCUCUUUCCUCAACAAAGAGAGUGUUGAGUGUGAACCACCUUUACGAGAUUUUCUCUUACGCUGCAUCUUGAAAAUAUUUCCAUGCUGCAGGGAUAUAUGCGCAACCAUGUCAACUCCCACCCUCAUUUCACAGACUGGACACACCCCAUUCCUAGCCUCGAUAGGAUGCUCUUCAUCAAUGUGACAGCACAAUCCGACUAUAUCAAAAUAUUCUGAGCAAAAUGGGCAUGGGAACUCCUCCCUUAUAUCAUCAUCCCCUUCAAAUUCUUCAAACCCCAUGAACAUACCUAAACCAGAUCGUGAUAGAAGAGCAGAUUGGUAGCGCUUAGAAGCAGAAGAAAGACGAGCAGUCCACGAUUCAGCAUCCAUAGCUCUUCCCUAGCCGAAAAAUUGGGUUUACGAGUUGCAACUUCAAUCUGCAGAAGCUUUGAAGCAAGCUCAACAAGCUUACGAUCCGAAGCAGAACAACAAACUGAGAGCAAAAUGAAAACCCUAGAAAGAGAAUUUGCGGAGGGAAAAUUAAGGGGAAAGAAGAGUGAUGAUUGGGGUUUUUGAGCUAUGAGAGAAGAGAGUGAGAGAAGAGAUGAACUGCGAACUGAAAAUCGAUUUUGGUUUUCUCGAAGGUGAAAUUCACAAACCAAAA